rnacentral:lncRNA from 1 species
CCCAGCUGGUUUAGCGGACAAGCCCAGCGGUGGAGAACAGCUCAAAGCGGGGCCCUGAAGAAGAAAGACAUCCCUUUUGGUCUAAACCCACAAGGUCGCUCCAGGCAUCCCCGAGGCCACACCAACAGUAGGCCCCUACCCGCAUCCCCACCAGCAUCUCCAGGCACGUACCGUUCCCGGAGCUUCCAGAACUCUCCAGACCCUGGGCAGAAGCAGCCGCCCCCCCCCCCCCCCCCCCGAGCCUGGGACGAGUCCCUCCGCUUUGGCUCCCCCAGGCCUUCUAAUGGCUGCCUUCCCCGCCUGAGCCAGGGUCCCCAGCCAGCAGGGAGCUCUGUAUUGUCCUCACAUCCGUGGCUGGUCUCCUUGUCCUCUGAGCCAGCCAGCCCAUCCCAGUUCUCUGAGCGUGUGGCAACUUGGAGGAAAAUAGCUCGAACAAUGUGGGGAAGGCGGCUGGAUGGGAGGGAGAAAGGUGGCUCAAAGGGGGCGGCGUUCGUGGAGCCAUUUUUAAACGUCAUGUAUAAAUACGCUGCUUGUUAGGAUCCCGGGAGAAGACGUGGGAGGAAGCGGGAUCGGAGGCCCUGAUGGUCAUGGCUGCCAGCUGGACUGGCCUGAGCUGGGGGCGAGGUGGUUAGAGGCCUUUUAUUCAUGUUCAGUGCCCCUCCAGCAAAGGAGCCAGUCCCCCCUCACCCACCUCUGCCCUCGUCCAUGCUGUCCUUGAUCUCAGAAGCUGGCUCUGCCUCUGGGAGGUGACAGUGGACCACGGCCCCUCCAUUCCACCUCUCACGUGUGCACUUUGCCUAGUGACCGCCCUUCCUGGCAGUUACUUCCUCUCAGUAGGGGUCGCUUGGUCCAAACAUCCACACUCUCCCAUGUGUGAUUAGGAGCUGAGCCAUUUCAAACCAUCCAGAUGGGGCUCAGACUCUGCACUUUGACUUCUUUGCUCCUUCCAGGUACUAUAAGCGUUUCUUAACCCUUAAGGAUGUUGCAGAGUCUGGGAUUCUGAGAAGAACAUGGAUUUGGAGUCAGAAAGACCUGGAUUUGAAUCUGGUCCCUUGGACUCACCAGCUGUGUGACUUCGGGCAAGUCACUUAACCUCUCUGUGCCUCUGUUUCCUCAUCUGUAACGUGGAGAUUUCUAAGUUGUCCUAGGGGUUAGCAAGCUUAUGGACCAG